rnacentral:piRNA from 1 species
UUUUGACUCACAGUUUCAAUGGUUUUAACC